UUAUUAAGUAACAUCAUGAAUUUCUCUAUUUUAUAAAAUAUAGGAAUAUAACCGCAAAUAAGACACAAACUAUGACAAAUGUUACUGGGAAACUAGAGGUUAUAGAAGAUCCUGCUCAAAUGAAUUUACAAUCUAGAGGUAAGGUCUAAAAGCCCAAGUGAAAGAACAAGACUUGACUGACGAGAUGGGUUUUUAAGGACUAGGGAUUAAAGAGUAAGGGAAUGUCUGCUGAUACAGAAAGCCAGCGUAAUGAUUAAAAUAAGAGGUGAGGUGUGAGAGGUGCAAUGAGAACAGACAAGAAGCCUGGAAUUACCAUUCAUCAUGAUCUGUAGAUAGGCAUUAUGAAUUCUGGAAAGAGUUAUACUAAUUAAUGCAGAACAUUAUAGGACUGUAAUCACAUAAUUUAGUGACAGAACACGUACAGUGAGGUAAUGGAAGGUAAGAUGUAAUGGAGUGAGCUUGCAAGAAUAGACUGAUAUGUAACAUAAACCUGCAGAGUGAGUGAUAGUCGAAGUUUAGAUUUAUAAAAAAGGACUAGCAGAUGCUCCAUUUUGGAAAGACUGAGAAGUAGAAAGUCUAAGACAUCCAGUUGCAAAUGGAAGAGAAGCAGCAAGGAGAUUAGGUAAGUAGAGAAUAUCUGGGUAUCACUGGCAUGCAGGUGGUACUAGAUUAAAAAUGAGCUAAUACAUUGACCAAAAGACAUAAAGAGAGAAACAGAAGGGAGGCAAGGACAAAGUCUUGGGGGACUCUAAAUGAAACAGAUUGAGAGCAUAUGAUGUUUACAGUAGAGGUCAUGAUAAAAAAAAAAGCAUUAAAGGAACAGUCCACACCCAAAAAAGCACUUCAGCUUACUGGGUGAGGAGUACCUUAGUUUAACCCCAGUUUAUAAAAGUGCUGAUUUCUGUAAGAAACCAGCACUUUAAUAAAC